rnacentral:rRNA from 1 species
AAUAGAUACCCGGGUAGUCCACGCCGUAAACGAUGAGUGCUAAGUGUUAGAGGGUUUCCGCCCUUUAGUGCUGCAGCUAACGCAUUAAGCACUCCGCCUGGGGAGUACGGCCGCAAGGCUGAAACUCAAAGGAAUUGACGGGGGCCCGCACAAGCGGUGGAGCAUGUGGUUUAAUUCGAAGCAACGCGAAGAACCUUACCAGGUCUUGACAUCCUCUGCCAACCCUAGAGAUAGGGCGUUCCCCUUCGGGGGGACAGAGUGACAGGUGGUGCAUGGUUGUCGUCAGCUCGUGUCGUGAGAUGUUGGGUUAAGUCCCGCAACGAGCGCAACCCUUGAUCUUAGUUGCCAGCAUUCAGUUGGGCACUCUAAGGGUGACUGCCGGUGACAAACCGGAGGAAGGUGGGGAUGACGGUCAAAUCAUCAUGCCCCUUAUGACCUGGGCUACACACGUGCUACAAUGGAUGGUACAAAGAGCUGCGAACCCGCGAGGGUAAGCCAAUCUCAAUAAAGCCAUUCUCAGGUUCGGAUUUGAGG